UGGAUUUUAGCCUAUCAGUGACAACAUUGUACUUCAGCCUAGAUCUUGAAAUGUUCUCUUUGAUGAUAUGUAACGUCAUUCUUUUGACUCUGGUGGAAUAUCCAUGUUUGUAAGACUGCUCACAGACUGUUUGACCAGAGAGUUUUCUGGUACUGCAACAUCUACCACUAAUCUCUGUGAUCCCUGUGAAUUGGCAAAAUAAGAAUAGUGCUAUAGAUUUCUUCCAAAUACAGAAAACAUAAGUAUGAAAAUGUUCUUGCUGUUGAUUAUAUUCUUUACCAAUCUGUUUGUAUGGGAUUUUUGGUACUUCACUUGAAAAAUGAGUCCAAGGUACUGUGAUGUGAUUGUUUACUUUGUGUGGCCUUUCUAGCCAUGGUCUUAUAACAUCCACCCUGGUGCUUGGGCAGGACUGUGUGAUAGGGUAAUUGUGGCUCACCAAGGGGAUUGUUUAUUUUCCCUUCAAAGAGAACCAGUUCCAGAGCAAAGAGGAGGAUUCAACUCCCAUCAAGGAAGAACAGCCAAGAGCCGAGCGUAUAUUAUGGACCUGAGAUCCCUGCACUGAGAAGCUCCUAGAAGCAGGAGACUGAGAUAGAGAGAGGAAGCUGUAACCCUGAAGAUGCUUAAAUACAGACCAGAAGAGGAGUUUGGGGCUUGACACCUGACAUCUUAACACCAGUUCCUGUUUCUUGAGGAAGGAAGAGGUAAAAUAAAUCAGCGUUUACUGUGUCCUUCUCCAUCCCCGGAAGUCCUGAUGAAGACCCUCUCAGAGAUGCAGCACACACAGAAUCCCAGCUGGAUUACAGACUUGAACCUGAAGACCUUAUGCAGAAUGACAAUUUAUGAACCACUAAGCUCAGUACUAAAGCAGCUUCAACUUGAACGUGAAUAUGAGCAACUGAUCAUCUGUUCUGCAGUCAGCCCCUGGCCUGAUUCUGACUCAUGAUAUUGACCAAGUGAAGAGUGAUUCAGAGAAAAACAUGGGUAGAGUGUGACCUAAUUUCCAUAAAAACAAACAAAUGAAUGUACUUACGUGUGUCCCGGCAAAAAGAAGUGUGUAAAAGGGUACAUAUGUAUCUUUGGACACUGGACACUUCAGGGGAGCAGGUACAAUAUACUUAUGUGGGGAUGGCUCUUAUUAUAACUUCUAUAUACAAAUCUCUAUUGUUAAAUGUGUUAUAAGAAUGUAAAAGCUUUUAAAGUUUAAUAACAUCAUACGUGUAUGUGUGUGUAUUUGAAACUUUUUUUCUUUUGACUAUUUUAUAUAUGUGUUUUUUAGUUAUCUAGUUUUUUUUUUAGUGUGGCUAUAGCAGAGAUACCGCAAGUGGAUGGCUUUAACAAACAGAAACUUAUUC